rnacentral:rRNA from 1 species
UACGUAGGGUGCGAGCGUUAAUCGGAAUUACUGGGCGUAAAGCGUGCGCAGGCGGUUCGUUAUGUCCGUUGUGAAAGCCCCGGGCUCAACCUGGGAAUGGCAAUGGAAACUGGCGGGCUAGAGUGUGGCAGAGGGGGGUGGAAUUCCGCGUGUAGCAGUGAAAUGCGUAGAGAUGCGGAGGAACACCGAUGGCGAAGGCAGCUUACUACGCAGAUAUUGACGCUCAUGCACGAAAGCGUGGGGAUCAAACAGG